rnacentral:rRNA from 1 species
GAUGAACGCUGGCGGCGUGCCUAAUACAUGCAAGUCGAGCGAACGGACGAGAAGCUUGCUUCUCUGAUGUUAGCGGCGGACGGGUGAGUAACACGUGGAUAACCUACCUAUAAGACUGGGAUAACUUCGGGAAACCGGAGCUAAUACCGGAUAAUAUUUUGAACCGCAUGGUUCAAAAGUGAAAGACGGUCUUGCUGUCACUUAUAGAUGGAUCCGCGCUGCAUUAGCUAGUUGGUAAGGUAACGGCUUACCAAGGCAACGAUGCAUAGCCGACCUGAGAGGGUGAUCGGCCACACUGGAACUGAGACACGGUCCAGACUCCUACGGGAGGCAGCAGUAGGGAAUCUUCCGCAAUGGGCGAAAGCCUGACGGAGCAACGCCGCGUGAGUGAUGAAGGUCUUCGGAUCGUAAAACUCUGUUAUUAGGGAAGAACAUAUGUGUAAGUAACUGUGCACAUCUUGACGGUACCUAAUCAGAAAGCCACGGCUAACUACGUGCCAGCAGCCGCGGUAGUACGUAGGUGGCAAGCGUUAUCCGGAAUUAUUGGGCGUAAAGCGCGCGUANGCGGUUUUUCUAGUCUGAUGUGAAAGCCCCACGGCUCACCGUGGAGGGUCAUUGGAAACUGGAAAACUUGAGUGCAGAAGAAGAAAGUGGAAUUCCAUGUGUAGCGGUGAAAUGCGCAGAGAUAUGGAGGAACACCAGUGGGCGAAGGCGACUUUCUGGUCUGUAACUGACGCUGAUGUGCGAAAGCGUGGGAUCAAAACAGGAUUAGAUACCCUGGUAGUCCACGCCGUAAACGAUGAGUGCUAAGUGUUAGGGGGGUUUCGCCCCUUAGUGCUGCAGCUAACGCAUUAAGCACUCCGCCUGGGGAGUACGACCGCAAGGUUGAAACUCAAAGGAAUUGACGGGGACCCGCACAAGCGGUGGAGCAUGUGGUUUAAUUCGAAGCAACGCGAAGAACCUUACCAAAUCUUGACAUCCUUUGACAACUCUAGAGAUAGAGCCUUCCCCUUCGGGGGACAAAGUGACAGGUGGUGCAUGGUUGUCGUCAGCUCGUGUCGUGAGAUGUUGGGUUAAGUCCCGCAACGAGCGCAACCCUUAAGCUUAGUUGCCAUCAUUAAGUUGGGCACUCUAAGUUGACUGCCGGUGACAAACCGGAGGAAGGUGGGGAUGACGUCAAAUCAUCAUGCCCCUUAUGAUUUGGGCUACACACGUGCUACAAUGGACAAUACAAAGGGCAGCGAAACCGCGAGGUCAAGCAAAUCCCAUAAAGUUGUUCUCAGUUCGGAUUGUAGUCUGCAACUCGACUACAUGAAGCUGGAAUCGCUAGUAAUCGUAGAUCAGCAUGCUACGGUGAAUACGUUCCCGGGUCU